AAACAUGUGACACUUACUAGCUGUGGGACCCUGGGCAAGUCACUUAACCCCAAUUGCCUUAAAAAAAAAAUAAUAAUGUGAAUGGAAAGAGCAUCGACUUCUUUGCCACUAAUUAGCAGUGUGACCUUGGGCAAGUUCCUUAGGCGCUCUGCCCAGUUGCCUUAUGGACAACAUGAGAGAGUUGUGCCAGGUGAUGUCUAACGAUUAGAUCUUCCUGAUCUGCAUAUUGUUCUUCUGCCAGCGUUAGAGACUUGGGUUUACCGGGUCCUGCUACUAUUGACAGACUGUUUCGGAUCUUCUUUUGCAGAUCGAAGAUUAUGCUUUGAGGAAAAACAUGUCUGUGGAUGAGGUUGAAAGAUGGCUGGGACCCAUUUUGGGAUAUGAUGCAGACUAACUGUCCUGUCAUCUUCCUUCCAUCUGAAGCUACUUCAGAAAACAGACCCCCGAGUGCCUUUAAAAAUACCACAGCUGAUUAGCAUCUAAUGCAUUGGCCUACUUAAGGUUUGGGAAGACUUCGGGGAAAAACCAUUUGAUGAUGCAGAAGAUCUCUGUCAUCACCAUGAUGUGCAUUUGUGUGACACUGAAACUUUCAAAAGCUGACAAGUUUGAGAUCACAACUUUGAACUCCCUUCAAGGAAAUCAACAUUAUAAAAAGGUCUGUAACUUGUCACAUGUGACUCAGGAACUUCGUGAUCAUACUUUAGUGGACGGAGGCUGUGCAGAAAUAAAAUGCCAUCCAAUGGCCCCAUAAAAGGGGUCAUGAAGAAUUGGACCCAACUGAAAUGACUCAACAGCAGCAACCACCACAUAGCAUAAUACAUCAGACAGGGAAUCAGGAGCCCUCAGUUUUCUAGUCCUGGCAUUAACACUAAAGAUCUGUGGGACUAUUGUGUAUUCACUUAACCACCUAUUUGAAGAUGAGGAGAUUUGGCUCAAUAAUCUUUAAGAUGCCUUUCAGCUCUAAGAUUCCGUGGCUCUCUUAAGUGAUACUGAAGACCAGAGAAGAUAAAGACCAGUGGGCUGGCAUAGUCAGGGAAAGCUUUGUAGAGUGAGACUUGAGCGAGGUCUUGAAGGACAUGGUAGAUUUGAAUAGAGGGACUGAGACAAGGAUUUCAGGCAAAGGGGUAGGGGAUAGAGCACAGCCAUUGAUGCAAAGAUGAAUAUGAC
rnacentral:lncRNA from 1 species